UCAUAUUUUUCUCUUUAAUUUCUUAUGAGCGUGGGGGCCCUCACAGCCUUAUGGCUGUUGGAUUCCAACGUCCCCAAACUUGUAGCAAGUUUGGUGAUGGCCCCUGUUGUUAUUCACAUCAGAGAAAACCUAUAACUAACCUCUUCUGCUUUUGUUUUCCAAAGUGCAGAGGUGGGAACAAGUAACAAGCAGUAAAGGAGAGGAAUAUUAAAAAAAAAAGCAGUAUCGACAGUUCUCUCUUCAAACUGAAAAAAAGAUUUAGUUGCAUCAAGCCAGCCAACUUGUGCACCUUUUUAAGAUGACGAACUACAUUCCACAGUUCCUGUCAAUUUUUGGGGUUUUCUAUUCAGGCCUUUUUGUCUGGAACCAAGAUAUUGCUUGCGUGUUUGGGGUCGUUGUCUUGUUGAAGCACCCAUUUCAGGGGCAUUUUUGCGCUACCGUGCUUCAAACCUGGUAUGCACUAAACCGAAAAAGAAAGUUUUACUCAUCAGUCCACAGAAUGUUAUGCCAUUUCUCUUCAGGCCAAUCAAUUAAUGUUCUUUUGGCAAGUUUUAACCAAUUCUGAACAUGCAGGGUCCCCCCCCCCCCCAACAAUGGUGCUUUACAGGGGCUUCUUCGUGAUUAGCUUUGCUUUGAUCAAACGUCUUCUAAAAUUAUCUGAGAGUACUGUCAAGGCCAAUUUAUGCUGACAACGCAGUCCUCGCAGAUGGCGUCGCAGAUAGCAUCUGUGUAGCCCCCCUACCUUCGCAGACGCUCUGCGUGCACCUCCCAAAAAUUGUGACCACCGCAGAAGCCUUGCAGACAGCGUCGCAGACAAGAGGGCUCUGAUUGGUCCACUCUGCAUCCGCUGUACACGCACUUCUGCUUCACGACCGCCAUUUUUAAAAACACGAGUGAAGAUGGAGCAGCACGAAGAACGGUUGAUCGAGGAAGUGAGGAAGUACGGACAUCUAUACGACUCCAGUUCUAGUCAUUAUAAGUAACCGGAGGAUAAACACUCCACUAACCACACCCACCAACUACUCCUAGCGACUUCGCGCCCCCUUGCGUUGUGGCGGUGAAUAACAUCGCGCACGCCUAUUACUCCCCGCUCAACGAUAAAUUACAACUGUCUGCGAAAAGCUAUCUGCGAAAGCCUUGUUGCAAGAGCAUGCAGAGGCCUUCAGUCAGAUCACCUUUGAUCUUUCUGGAAGAGGUGAUUAGCUGAAUCGUUGCCGUUUUGGGGUUUUGUUGCACUUCCUCCCCCCCAAUCAAAUUAUGUUGUGCCUCUGAACAUCAUUUGGAACGCCCUGUUUUACUUCGUAGUUCAGAAGGAAGUACAUUUUAUAACAAACUAUUGAAACAUUUGCUUCCCUUCUCCCUUAAUGACUUUUUUUUUCACAGAAUGAAUGAGUCAAAUACUCAGAAUGAGCAGCGUGCAUGUCAUGACAAUUGGGUCUGUUUCUAUUCCACUACAAUGAAUGACAGUGGUUCGUCAGGUUACUGAUGAUGUACUGCUAUUUUUUUGAACACUAGUAUUUAUCAACACUACCCAGUUGAUAAAUAGCUUCUCUUCAGUAAAAAAAAAAAGUAGUAGUUCUAUCAAGUUCAGGAAAUGUGGUUAAAAUAAUAGCUUUCCAACACUGCCAGCAUACAAAUGUAGAUAAAUUAUUAAUAACUAACUUACCCCUGGAUUGCUAUAAUCCUUCUUGUGUAUAUAAAUUUGAACACAACUGUAUGUAGGUCUGUUGUUCUUCGUGUAGCCUUUAAGGCCAAAUGAGAUUGACUAAUGCUUAUCCAUAAUGUUUAAGUGCACUUAAAAGUUGUUAAUUCUUGGUAGGUAGAUUGUUUCAACCUGCUCAAGAGUAUUUAAACAUUGGUGUUAGUCAAGUUGCAACUCGACCUACAAAUAAUGAGUCCACACUUUGGCAAAAGUGAUACCUGGUUCACCAAGUUGGUGUUAUUAGACCCCUCAUAUACAUCAGGGCUCGACGUUAACUUUUAAACCCACAGAAUAGUUGUGAAGUGCAACAUAAAAUGAUCACACAUUCGAGUUGAAGUUUGUAUGAAGAAAAAACAAUAGGGCGUCUAGACUUUUUUGAACAGUACUGUGUUUGAGAAUAUUUAUAUAUUGGGGUUUUUUGUUAUCCACCUUUUGAGUUUAAAACUAUUUAGGUUGUGGGUGUUUUAUACAGACCUGGCAACCUGCAUCAGUGCAGCUGGUCUGUCAUGACAAACAAAGCUCUCUCUGCUCUGAAUCUGUUCUUUCAGAAUUUGUUGAGCUUUUUUAUGCCCAAGUUGUUUGAAACCAGUCUGUGUUGAAUAAGGAAGCAAUUUCACCUUUUAAUAAACUCAAACACUUUCAUGCAGGAGCUAACUCGAAAAAAAAAUGAGAUUCUUAAGUAAACACUUCCAUCCUCCCUUCUGACUUUAAAUAUAAUCGUGAAUUUCUCUGGAGUUUUCAGGCUGAGCUGUCUUCAUGUUCUUGGAGACAGUAAUGCCUUUUAUCUGUUUAAACAAGCAAAAACAUCAUGGAUAAGGGGUCUAUAAAAUAACGGCAGAUAUGUAGUGAGGGACGCUUUUAGGAACUAAAAUCAAAGAGCCUCAUUAAGCAUUGGCCGGGGCAAGUUAAUGUCGAGCCCUGCACAUAAGUAAAAUAUACAGGGUUGGUCAAAAUUAUGUUAACACUUAAAUGGUAGAAACCCAUCGGCUCUCUAGUGGAAGCUCAUCAACGGCGUUCUGCUGCCGCGGCUCACCACACAUUCAGGAGAAAAAUAAUCCAUUAGUGUUCACAUAAUUUUGACUAACCCUGUUGUGGAACAGGAACUGAUAUGCAGCAAAAAUCUAAAGCAUGAAAGGAAUACUGAGUGUACAUGAGCAAUUUCUUUCACAUCAGAUACUGAUCAUCUCAGGUUAGCCUUUUAAAAUGUAAGUUUUUGACCCAAAUCUUUCCUAAAUGGUUUGCCUUCGACUCACCGUGGACCAGAGCAAUUUUACAUGAUCUAUUAACAGAAUUGUGUCCGAAUUGAAUUGAAAUCUCCUUUGUACUAUUAGUGGGAUAGAUUGUCAGCAGUAAAUUCGUUGUUGCUUCGAGACCUGAAGACAAACUUAAAUUGGCUCCGUUUUGAUGCUUUUGCUCAUGCUUUAAAUUUUUGUUCUCAAAAUAAACGUGCUGCUUUCCUUUAUUGCUGUUAUGUUGCAUGUCUGUAAACUUGCACACACUUGGUACUUCCAUCACUUCAGAAGUAGUCUUCAUUGUGUGAUGUCCUCGGCUCCAGUGGUACAAUGUGGAUAAGUAACAAUUUAAAACGUUAUUUUAAUGGAUAAUAAUGAAAAUGCUAUUACAUUUCAGAAUUGUGUAUUUGUAACUUAAUGUAAAAUGGGGUUUUUAAUACAAACACUGGUUUAUCAUUCAUUGUUUUCCUCUAUCAGUGAAAUAAAGUAUACAUAAAGACUG